rnacentral:rRNA from 1 species
GAACGGGUGCGUAAUGCAUGGGAAUCUGCCUAGUAGUGGGGAAUAACCCGGCGAAAGCCGGGCUAAUGCCGCAUACGACCUACGGGUGAAAGCGGGGGAUCGCAAGACCUCGCGCUAUUAGAUGAGCCCAUGUCGGAUUAGCUAGUUGGUAGGGUAACGGCCUACCAAGGCGACGAUCCGUAGCUGGUCUGAGAGGACGGCCAGCCACACUGGGACUGAGACACGGCCCAGACUCC